rnacentral:rRNA from 1 species
GACGUAGGGCGCGAGCGUUGUCCGGAUUUAUUGGGCGUAAAGAGCUCGUAGGCGGCUUGUCGCGUCGACUGUGAAAACCCGACGGCUCAACUGCGGCCUGCAGUCGAUACGGGCAGGCGUAGAGUUCGGUAGGGAGACGUGGAAUUCCUGGUGUAGCGGUGAAAUGACGCAGAUAUCAGGAGGAACACCGGUGGCGAAGGCGGGUCUCUGGGACGGUACUGACGCUGAGACGCGAAAGCGUGGGAGCGAACAGG